rnacentral:rRNA from 1 species
GCCCGAACGUAACACGACACCACGUCCGCCAAAUAACUACGAGUGAAAACUUAAAAUUUAAAGGACUUGACGGUACUUCACACUCAACCUAGAGGAGCCUGUCUACUAACCGAUAAUCCACGAUUAACCCAACCACUUCUAGCCACCCAGCCUAUAUACCACCGUCGCCAGCCUACCUUGUAAAAGAAACACAGUAAGCCAAACAGUAACGCACUAACACGACAGGUCAAGGUGUAACUAAUGAAGCGGAUUAAGAUGGGCUACAUUUUCUAACCCAGACCAUACGAAUCAGGUCAUGAAAUAAGCCUCUGAAGGCGGAUUUAGCAGUAAGCCGAGAACACAAUACUCAACUGAAACUGAUGCAAUGAAGUGCGU